UACGAAGGGGGCUAGCGUUGCUCGGAAUGACUGGGCGUAAAGGGCGCGUAGGCGGCUUGUAUAGUCGGAUGUGAAAUCCCUCGGCUUAACCGGGGAACUGCGUCUGAUACUGGAUGGCUUGAGUUCGGGAGAGGGAUGCGGAAUUCCAGGUGUAGCGGUGAAAUGCGUAGAUAUCUGGAGGAACACCGGUGGCGAAGGCGGCAUCCUGGACCGAUACUGACGCUGAGGAGCGAAAGCCAGGGGAGCAAACGGG
rnacentral:rRNA from 1 species